rnacentral:tRNA from 4 species
GCCCAGGUGGUGGAAUUGGUAGACACGCAGGUUUCAGGUACCUGUGCCGCAAGGCGUGAAGGUUCGAGUCCUUUCCUGGGCACCA